GUGUCUGUAGCCUAGUUGGUUAAGGCAGCACUCUAGUAUGUGUCUCAGAAUUGCUGAGGUUGUGGGUUUGAGACCCACCAGACACA
rfam:Puccinia sorghi strain RO10H11247 Scaffold_728, whole genome shotgun sequence.